GUAAAUCCCUAAUUAAAUAUGCUAUAAAUAAAAUUAGGCGUUGUGGUUUUGUGUGCACAUCUGGUUGGUGCCGAGGAGAUGGACUAGUUCGGGUUGGUGGAGGUUUGGAUAGUGGCUAUUGAUGGCUGAAGAAUGGUGGUUAUUGUGAAGGGUUACUAGUGGUUUGAGUUUGUUGAUUUUGCUGUUAUGGUGGUGGAAACGAAGGCAUAGCUAUAUGCUAUAUCCUAGAUUUGAUGGUUGGGUUGUGUUAGUCUCAGUUUUGUCACAGCUUAGUUGGUGGAGAAAAUGGCUAGGUUUGGUGGUGGGGAAGAAGAUGCGGC
rnacentral:lncRNA from 1 species